UAGUGGUAAGAACACUGGAUGUUUUUCCAGAGGACGAAUGUCUGAGUCCCAGCAUCCACACUAUGGCUCACAACUGUCUGCAUAACCAGUUCUAGGGCACCUGGUGUCGUCUUCUGGCAUUCAUGGGUACAGCACGUAUGUGAUACAUAAGUACAGGUAAAAUACCCAUGUGCAAAAGUCAUUAUUAAACAAGUGGAUGAGACCGAGCAGGUCACAGGAGGCUUCUGAAAGAUGUACCUGUUUCCUGUUUGACAUGAGCAUCAUGAGUGAAUGCUUAGCAAGAGAAAGACAUAGAAGGGAUGCAGAUGAGAAAGGAAGAAAUGAAAUCAUCUUUAUCAACACUCUACCAGAAGUCUUAGUGGUCUGAGAAGACUGUACAGCCACCGGCCACUGCCCAGAAAGCUGCCAAGAUGUGGGAAUCCCCAGUGAGCAGAGACAGGAACAGAGGCACAUGGCAGCCUCUGUUCAUCUGCCUGUCCUGACCUC
rnacentral:lncRNA from 1 species